GCGAGUUUUACACGUGACCUGCACCCUGAUCAUGCGUUCUUUUUAGGCUGCACACCCGCCUAUCAGCCUCAUCAGCGUUGAUGCUGUGGACCCACAUCAGUGGUUUCUUGAGCUUUGAGAAAAACCCAGUUCUUGUUCUUAGAUAAAUACAAGAACCCUUCUGUUUCAGAGCAGCGUGCAGCCAUGUGCACACUGUGUGUGCCAGAACAGACCCUUUCAAGAGCUCCAGAAGACUUUUUUAGCCUCUUUCUUUCAUCUGCAAGACCAAAAAGGAAAGAGAGGUUUCUGCAACUGGGAAGCAGGAGAAGAGAGCGGAGUGACAAGACUUCACCUGUACCGUAGCUGAUGGUGGGCUCACAGACCAGAACACACACAGCCUAUUGCACAGAUCGGCUUUCCUGGCAGCCCCGGGCAGCACUUGCAGGGACAGAGGUAUGGGACGCCUAAAAAAAGUUACUGAAAGAGACUAAAAGACAAGGACAGCUGGAAAAAAC